GUGGUCUAAAGGCUUAGGACGCUUGCCCGGAAAGCAAGAGAUCCAGGUUCAACUCCCGGC
rnacentral:tRNA from 1 species